rnacentral:rRNA from 1 species
GACGAACGCUGGCGGCGUGCUUAACACAUGCAAGUCGAGCGGAAAGGCCCUUCGGGGUACUCGAGCGGCGAACGGGUGAGUAACACGUGAGUAACCUGCCCCAGACUUUGGGAUAACCCUCGGAAACGGGGGCUAAUACCGGAUACGACACAGCUUCGCAUGGGGUCUGUGUGGAAAGUUUUUCGGUUUGGGAUGGGCUCGCGGCCUAUCAGCUUGUUGGUGGGGUGAUGGCCUACCAAGGCGACGACGGGUAGCCGGCCUGAGAGGGCGACCGGCCACACUGGGACUGAGACACGGCACAGACUCCUACGGGAGGCAGCAGUGGGGAAUAUUGCACAAUGGGCGGAAGCCUGAUGCAGCGACGCCGCGUGAGGGAUGACGGCCUUCGGGUUGUAAACCUCUUUCAGCAGGGACGAAGCGUAAGUGACGGUACCUGCAGAAGAAGCGCCGGCCAACUACGUG